rnacentral:rRNA from 1 species
UUGUAGAGGAUGCUUUGGGUAAAACGCCAGUCUAAGUUCCUUGGAACAGGACGUCAUAGAGGGUGAGAAUCCCGUAUGUGACUGGAAAUGUUAACCUAUGUAAAGCUCCUUCGACGAGUCGAGUUGUUUGGGAAUGCAGCUCUAAAUGGGAGGUAAAUUUCUUCUAAAGCUAAAUAUUGGCGAGAGACCGAUAGCGCACAAGUAGAGUGAUCGAAAGAUGAAAAGCACUUUGGAAAGAGAGUUAAAAAGCACGUGAAAUUGUUGAAAGGGAAGCGCUUGCAAUCAGACUUGUUUAAACUGUUCGGCCGGUCUUCUGACCGGUUUACUCAGUUUGGACAGGCCAGCAUCAGUUUCGGCGGCCGGAUAAAGGCUCUGGGAAUGUGGCCUCCACUUCGGUGGAGGUGUUAUAGCCCAGUGUGUAAUACGGCCAGCCGGGACUGAGGUCCGCGCUUCGGCUAGGAUGCUGGCGUAAUGGUUGUAAGCGACCCGUCUUGAAACACGGAC